rnacentral:rRNA from 1 species
CAGCCGCCGCGGGAAUACGGAGGGGGCUAGCGUUGUUCGGAAUUACUGGGCGUAAAGCGCACGUAGGCGGCUUGGUAAGUUAGAGGUGAAAGCCUGGAGCUCAACUCCAGAAUUGUCUUUAAGACUGCCGAGCUAGCAGGUGAGAGAGGUAAGUGGAAUUCCGAGUGUAGAGGUGAAACUCGUAGAUAUUCGGAAGAACACCAGUGGCGAAGGCGGCUUACUGGCUCAUACUGGACGCUGAGGUGCGAAAGCGUGGGGAGCAAACAGGAUUAGAUACCCCCGUAGUCCCUGUCUCUUAUAC